rnacentral:rRNA from 1 species
CCAGACUCCUACGGGAGGCAGCAGUGAGGAAUAUUGGUCAAUGGGCUUACGCCUGAACCAGCCAAGUCGCGUGAGGGAAGACGGCCCUACGGGUUGUAAACCUCUUUUGUCGGGGAGCAAAGCGAGUCACGUGUGACUCAUUGAGAGUACCCGAAGAAAAAGCAUCGGCUAACUCCGUGCCAGCAGCCGCGGUAAUACGUAGGGGGCGAGCGUUAUCCGGAUUUACUGGGUGUAAAGGGAGCGUAGACGGCAGUGCAAGUCUGAAGUGAAAGCCCCGGGCUUAACCCGGGAAUUGCUUUGGAAACUGUACGGCUGGAGUGCUGGAGAGGUAAGCGGAAUUCCUAGUGUAGCGGUGAAAUGCGUAGAUAUUAGGAGGAACACCAGUGGCGAAGGCGGCUUACUGGACAGUAACUGACGUUGAGGCUCGAAAGCGUGGGGAGCAAACAGGAUUAGAUACCCCCGUACCG